rnacentral:rRNA from 1 species
CUCUUCUUGAAUAUAUUUUGAUGUAUGACCUGCCCACUGAGUAUUAAAGGGCCGCGGUAUUUUGACCGUGCAAAGGUAGCAUAAUCAUUAGUCUUUUAAUUGUAGGCUGGAAUGAAUGGUUUGACGAGGUGUUAACUGUCUUUAAUUUUUUUUAUUGAAUUUAAAUUUUAGGUUAAAAUGCCUAAAUAUUUUUUUGGGACGAGAAGACCCUAUAGAGUUUUAUAAAUUUUUAUUUUUUUGUGUGAUAAUUUUUGAUUUAAAAAUUUAUUUUGUUGGGGUGAUGGGAAGAUUGAAUUAACUCUUUUUGUUUUAUUAUAUUUAUUUAUAUGUAUUUGAUCCAUUUUUAUUGAUUAUAAGACUAAAUUACC